CGUCAGUUCGUACUGUGAAGCAUCCUGUUAAGUCAGGCAACGAGCGAGACCCAGCCCACAGUUGCCAGCGUACUCUCCGGAGUGACGGGUACACUGUGGGGACCGCCGCUGCUAAAGCGGAGGAAGGAAUGGGCAACGGUAGGUCAGUAUGCCCCGAAUAUCCCGGGCUACACGCGAGCUACAAUGGUUGGUACAAUGGGUAUCUACCCCGAAAGGGGACGGGAAUCUCCUAAAACCAAUCUUAGUUCGGAUUGAGGGCUGCAACUCGCCCUCAUGAAGCUGGAAUCCGUAGUAAUCGCGUUUCAACAGAACGCGGUGAAUACGUCCCUGCGUCCUU
rnacentral:rRNA from 1 species